rnacentral:tRNA from 1 species
GUCCCCAUCGUCUAGAGGCCCAGGACACUGCCCUCUCACGGCAGCAACGCGGGUUCGAAUCCCGCUGGGGACGCCA